rnacentral:lncRNA from 1 species
UGGGCUUUCUAUAGUCCAUGUGUAUAGUGACUGAGAAUAAUAGAAGGAAGCCUGUAAGACCAAAAUUCCUUUCCCCAUGGCAAUUUCUUUAGAGUUUUGCUUAGAAACAGAUUUAUCACCUCUACCCAAUUUCUCACUUCUAAAGAGUACUAUUAAGCACAAGCAGUGACCAGGCACUACUCUGCCUUUUUCAUCUCUCCCCCAACAUUCAUCCUCCUUUUUGAAAUCCUUAAGCCUCUUAGCCCAGGCUUAUUUUAGUCCCUGAAUCAGUCCCAGGAGCAAACAGGAGUUCAUGUGCUCACGGGUGGCUGUAGGGUCCACCACAGACCUUGUCCUGCAAUUUGGAGCCAGGGUGAGAAUUGCUGUUCUCCUUUUCCAGUAGAGUUUUAGUCCUAGCUUAUGUCUUCAUCACCCAAACUGUUCAUGCUUGAAUUCCAUUGAGAAGCAAGAUGGUCAGCACCUACCAGGAGUCUCCUCAGAAGGACUAGAAGGGAAAAGGCUGGCAAGGCUUUAUGGGCCAUGAGUCCCAC